CCUACGGGAGGCUGCAGUGGGGAAUAUUGGACAAUGGGCGAAAGCCUGAUCCAGCCAUGCCGCGUGUGUGAAGAAGGCCUUCGGGUUGUAAAGCACUUUCAGUGGGGAAGAAAGCCUUGGGGCUAAUACCCUCGAGGAAGGACAUCACCCACAGAAGAAGCACCGGCUAACUCCGUGCCAGCAGCCGCGGUAAUACGGAGGGUGCGAGCGUUAAUCGGAAUUACUGGGCGUAAAGCGCGCGUAGGCGGUCUGAUAAGCCGGUUGUGAAAGCCCCGGGCUCAACCUGGGAACGGCAUCCGGAACUGUCAGGCUAGAGCGCAGGAGAGGAAGGUAGAAUUCCCGGUGUAGCGGUGAAAUGCGUAGAGAUCGGGAGGAAUACCAGUGGCGAAGGCGGUCUUCUGGACUGACACUGACGCUGAGGUGCGAAAGCGUGGGUAGCAAACAGGAUUAGAUACCCGGGUAGUC
rnacentral:rRNA from 1 species